AAACAAGCUGACAUAUUCUAGUCCAUGUGCAAGUGGUCAGGCCACGAGGCCUCUGUUUAGAAAGAAGACCCCCCGGUAACACCAGCUGAAUGAGCUCUCAGCAGAAAUAACAAGCAGCAGCGCACAAACCGAGGCCCAGAGCUGAGAACACAAGCAGUGGUCCACGAGCCCAGGGACGAGGAAUUCUAAUGCGAUCUGCAGAUGUUUCUUGCCUCGGCUUUCACAGAGCUGACAAGGCAUUUCGCUUAGCGAGAGGUAAUCACCAGGUUGUGUUCUGCACAGUGUCUACCUGUCUCACUGCUAAUUAGUUGUUUAAGGCCUGAACCCUGGUCUCCCAUUUGAAAUCAGUGGAAAUAGUCUCCUUGAAUUGUACUAUCUAGGUUUGAUCCUGUAAGAGCCUUUGAUUUAUGGGGCUGCUACUGGUUUCAGCGAGCAUUCUGCUGCCACAGAGCUUCCAAGAAGAGUCUCACGCUGUGGCAGAGAGCUUGCAUGUUAAUUCUGUGGCAUGUUUUGGUUUGCUUUUUAAUUUUUAUAAUGAAUGGCUGGAGUGUUGCUGUGCUUGUAUAAAAGAUAAGUACUGGAGUUAAAAACAUAAAACAGGUCACUAUCUCAAGAGCAACUAACCACUUCUGCGUGACCAAUUUUGCAAUAUACUUAAAGAAACGCUAUUUUCAAAAGACUAAUAAAUUGCAACAACAUAUUUGUGACAAUACGAGAAGCAUUCACUUACCAUCUUGGGCACUGACAGAACGCUCUAGGUUCAGGAACUGUACAGCCUGGUUGACUCAUCUCUGUAAGAAUAAUAAGUGGGGUUAUGUUCUUCACAUGAGUGUUAUGAGAUUUUUUUUCUUCUUGAAUGUUAG